GGUCGUAGGUUCGAUUCCCACCGUGGCCGGGCAUAUUUUUCAAGCUCGCUCGGUGUGGAUAUGCACUCAGAGUGACAUCACAAACAUUAUAUUCACCUGAGUACACAACACCAACGCAGAAAAAAAAUAUAUUACUAGAUUACAUUGGCAUUGAAGGAACUAGAUUUUGUUCCGAAAUAUCACUUACUCGAACCAUCCUGACCGCGUAGCUCAGUUGGCAUCUGGAGCAUUGGGCUAGUAUUCCAAAGGUCAUAUUUUAGUUCCAUUUUCUUGUAUUAUAAUAACAUUUUUGCUAUUAUGGGACAUUGAGCUUUAUAAAUAAAAACUUUUGGAAGAUGGCUUUCACUGCAUGACAGACAGCCUACUUUUGGUCUGUUUAUAUGAGGGGGUAAUGGGGGGUACCAAUCCUGAAGCACGAGAAAUAAUAUGCAGCUAUCUUGAAACAUGAAAAAUAAAAGAAGGAAGUCCUGAAGCAUGUAUAAUAACAAAUUUAUUGCGAAUCUGAAAUGUAAAGGGAACAUGAAAUGUAAGCAACAACCAUACAGUCCAUACUUAGAGGUCUUAAAAGUGAAUAUAAACAGUCCGUACUAGGCGGGGUGUUCAUCUGUUUGUUUACAAUUGCGUCGAUGUUCAUGAUUUAUAAAAUUUGAAACCUGCGUUCCCCAAUCAAAACAUAGCUAAAAUCCAGAACUAAAUUUAAUUUAAUAGAAUAUAUUGUCCAGAAACGAGAAAUAACCGUCUUAAAUACUGCUGAAAACGGAGAACGGGAAUUGAAUACACCGCAGGCACGAUACACGAGUCGUACUCGACAUCCGACAUCCAUGUCGGGAUCGAAAGACGUUUAAUAAAAAGAUGACUGAACGAAGAACGAAUAAUUAAAUUACCCCAAUACGGAACACGAAAAUAUCCCAUUACCCCCCUCUUAUAUGGAGUUAACCCAACCUAGAUUAGCUAUAUUUCUUUAAUUGUUGAACAAUCUCUUUGCGUGUUGAACAAUCUCCAGUGGCUUUUCAUUGACCAUCACUGGAUCGAAUUGGGGAUUGGUACUGGCAAAUGAGAUCCUGAGCUUUUUUCAUUUUGCCUCGUUCAGUUGGAAUUUAUUAGCAUGAGCUUUAUCUGAAACCUCUGUCACUGCUUUUCAGAACGUGCUCGCAUUGCCUCUUUCCACACACUCUGACAGUAGCAGUGGCGGAAACUUUGCAAAAUAUUAGGGGGGGGGAGGGCGAGUGCCAAAGGUGCCAGGUGGUAUGGGGAAUGCUCCCCCAGAAAUAUUUUAAAAUUUGGAUCCCUGAAAUGGCAUUUACAGUACAGCAUUCUGAGACACAUUUUGUAAGAAAUUUCUGCAUUUUGUUAUAAAUCAUAUGCUAAGCAUAAAAAAACGACAUUUCAUAGAAAAUAUUCUAGAUGAUUUGUUAAUGGAAUUGCAAGGUGGUUUAACUCUUUCUCUCGGCAAGUCCCACGCAUGUCAACUUCUAGAAGCUGACAACUUUGUAUGUUUAUAUCUUCGGUUCAGUGCAUGCUAUGAAGACAAUACCACCAUUCGAUUCAGUGAAACAAUAUCAA